CUCAACGUUCCCGCGCUGUCAACCCUAGGCCUUGGCCUCAUGGACUGAGAUUUGGAAAGACUGUUCACUUGAAAGGGACAGAACCCUGGUCAGAUAUAUCUAUAUCUAGAAGGGUGGUCUGAGUGAGCUCUAGUUGGAUGAUUUUGCAUACUGGGUAUCUGAAGCUGGAUAGAUUUAUGACAUUUCAGCUGCACUAUUCACUCCUUUAACAAAGUUUUUAAUCCUGGCGAACGACAUUAUUGAGGUACAAGGACCUUUAUGGUUACAUGUGGGGAUCCGAUAUCAUGCAACCCCUCCAUGAUAGUCCUGAGGGGAACAUGUAAUCAUACUGAGUCAAGUGCUUCAUAUUGGUCGUUUCCGUGCUGGGAUAAAAUGUUCUUGUCAUGUGACUGGACGGAUAGGUGCAGCUGAACUAGAAUAAAUCUAUUUUUGCAACAGAACCUCCUGCGUUUGAAAGUCUGACUAGGGUUUAGUACAUCUGAUCUGACUGACGGAAUAGGAUGGCCUGCCAGCGUCCAGAGGAGGGUCCAAUCAAAGAGGCCUACGAAGGACCAUCAUAGGAGAACCCUACCAGGACAAGAAGGAUAAAAGGAUCAUAAAGGCCUAUCAACAACAAGAACCUCAAAGAUAGGAGGACAAUCCGGGACCAUGAGGUAGCAACAGCACCAUCUCAGACUCUGAAACACAAGGACAAAUAAUAGGACCAUCACCGGAGAACCUGGAGAAACGACAAGAUAAUCCGAGACAAUCAAAAACAAAAGGUUUACCCAAGACGGACAAGGACAAAAGUACAACCCAAGAACUAAGGACGUAAA